CUAGUGACAGAGGGAGGGAGGUGGUGACUAGUGAAAGAGUGAGGAAGGUGGUGACAAGUGACAGAGAGAGGGAUGGGGUGACUAGUUACAGUCACUCUGUCACUAGUCACCACCUCCCUCACUCUGUCACUAGUCACCACCUCCCUCUGUCACCACUUCCUCCCUCCCUCUGUCACUAGUCACCCCCUCCAUCCCUCACUCUGUCACUAGUCACCCCCUCUCUCACUCUGUCACUA